AGGGAAUUGUUCGCAAUGGGCGAAAGCCUGACGACGCAACGCCGCGUGGAGGAUGAAGACUUUCGGGUCGUAAACUCCUUUCGACCGAGAUGAAUACCCGCCGACCUAAUACGUCGGCGGGCUGACAGUAUCGAGGGAAGAAGCCCCGGCUAACUCCGUGCCAGCAGCCGCGGUAAUACGGGGGGGGCAAGCGUUGUUCGGAAUUACUGGGCGUAAAGGGUUCGUAGGUGGCCAACUUAGUCAGACGUGAAAUCCCUCGGCUCAACCGGGGAACUGCGUCUGAUACUGGAUGGCUUGAGUGCAGGAGAGGAACGCGGAAUUCCAGGUGUAGCGGUGAAAUGCGUAGAUAUCUGGAGGAACACCGGUGGCGAAGGCGGCGUUCUGGACUGUAACUGACACUGAGGAACGAAAGCCAGGGGAGCAAA
rnacentral:rRNA from 1 species